CAACCAUGCAACGAAUUUACGUCUCAUUAAUAGUUCCGAACGUAAACCCUUAUAUGUAUAACUUCGUUGUAAGUAUUCUGUACUUUCGGUCGAAAGAGUUACGAGGAGAAAAAAAAGAUCGAUGCUGCCGGUAGGUGGUAAUUUUCAUACCAAGUACGGUUUCCGGUCGGCUCGUUGCAUAACGUAUUCAAUGGCUACCGCAAUUAUAGCGGCCGUUUGACGCGAAGCGCGGCUAAGUUCGGUCAUAAAAUCCUGACCUUGAGAAUUACGAUGCAACGUUCGUACGUUUAUUUCUCGCCGGUGCUGUCGAUGGAAACCCAUCCCAAACGGCGGUUUUGCUCCGUUCGGACAAAUGAUUUGCAUCGUGAACAACCACACGCCCGCGCGUAAACUAAACUACGCGCGUACGGCGCCAAAUUACGAAGUACAAAGCGUGCAACACUUACAGGCAGAUUCCUGAGCCCCAGCCGCACCUUCGAGUACUUCUUCAUAAAGACCCGCCAGAGCACGUUCUCGUAUUAGCACAGCGAAGAAAAGGGAGGAGAGAAUCGUCGAGCAGAAAAAUAACGAAACGUGUCUCGCGUACGUUACAAGAGGAAGCAACACAUCUCGCGUACAAAUUGAUGCGACAAACUUCAUGCCGUUCCGAUAAUGAGCGACUGGAUAAAUCACCAUUCACUUCUAAAGGAACAGGAAGAUGCACGCCUGUACACAGGCGGAAAUGAAUCAGUUGCACGCAGUGUCACGAGAAAUGUCGUCAGACCAGAAUACAAGGAAGCGACUGUCAUGAUUUAAUCGACGAACCAAUGAGACUUUCUGUCGUCCUCGAAGGAUAUAAACACUCUCGUAACUACGCUCUGUAUGAUACGUUACUCCAAAGGAAAAUCACAUAAGACUAUGAUGACAACGCUCGACAAUUAGAACGCCUUCGAUCACGGAGAUUCCGUCGAAAGUUUUUGUUGGUAUUGAUACAGCAGGACGCACGAGGAUUUUGAACGAACGACGCGCGUCAAAACACCCGUAUGCCUGACGGCUCUCGCUGCCGAGAUAUAACUGACACGACACACGCAACUACCUACUCUCGCGCUCGAACCGUGGAACGAUGAAACGGAACGUCCGGAACGCCGGAACUACGGAACGAUAUAUACCUGAAUCGCGUUUCAGCGCAACUUUAGGCGUGUCUUUAACCACCCGACACCACGUUUAAUGGAAAUAAAGGGUGUGCUCCUGAGGUCUAUGUCCCUGAAAUCUCGAGUUCGCUGAACUCUGAUAUCGAGGAAUAUGUGAGGUAUCAAUCCAUUUCGAAGAAGAUGCCAGGCACCAUGGUUGGUAACACGCCUUAAAGACACCACUAACAGCUGUUUGUCACGCAAAAAUGAAGAAACAAAAAAGAAACCAUUCAUAGUAAUACUGGCAUCUGCCGAGGCAUAUAGGCGAUACGCGCGAGAACGAAACGACAGAAGAACGUAUAUAACGGCGAAGGGUGAAAAGAAAUAUGGAGAACUGCUCGGAGAACUGGUAGACGGCGCAUAAAAAAUGCCAAAUGUUUCGGGAUGUAGGAGGCAACGCGAACCUCGUCGACGCCAUUAACUCUUGAAUUUUUAAUACGUGAACGUGCAGCCCUUGCGUAUCAUGAAUUCUGCCUUGAAACACGGCGACAUGCUUGAAACAUCGAACACCGAACGUCGAGCCACGCGUUUGUUCGAUCGUCGACUGAAAAGGGAACCGCUUACGACGAAGAAACACACCCCAGCAAAAUGGUUCUCUUUCGCGAUUAGCGCCGGUGUCACGGCACUUCCGCUGUGUCUCUACCUCGCGCCACAUCCUAUCGCCUUUUACUUCUUCCCUUCUUUAAUAUUCAGCCACCGUUCUCGUAACCUACGUUGUGCCGCCGCGCCGCCAGACACACGUAAAUACGCGUACCUCACAAAUAUAUCGCGCAUGUGUGCAACGUGUUAUCCUCUGUACGUGUCACUAUGCGCCUGUUCGCAGCAUAUGCAUACAAGCGUGCAUUCUCUGCGAGACAAUGGGUGUGCCCACCUCACGUGACUGGCACGUGAGCACCCUUAAAAAGGGCCCUCGGUUCCUGACGUUCAUUCAUACUGGUCUGCCUGUUUCGUGGUCGACACUGAUGACCCUACACCGCGCGUCGGAAAGUCAAGAAGAACCGAACGACAGAAAGAGCAGAAAACCGCUGUUUAACCGUGUACCAUUCAGAGACGGUUUUCGUGAGUCUUGCAGGUGCGCGGACGAUUACACCGUGCAAACCAUGCGUCACCGUAACAAUGUCCUUUGCUCGACAGCCUCAACCGCUGCCCGACAGAAGUACCCUGCCGGGACAGGAGAAUAAUCCGUGGAACGAAUGCAGUGAACUUGUUACUUAAAUAAGCCGUGAAAGAUAGAGUGUGUUUGGAUAAAGGUAAAUAAACGCGUCUUGUGCACCAAGUACAAUGACCUUUCGUGCUUCUGAAUUCGUAUUUAUUCAACCAUUUACGCUCUUUAUACAAUGUAUGUACGCAAGUAUUAUAAAUGAGAAGACGAUCGACGACAGGAUUCUUCGAUCUACGAAAUGCGGCGUAAUAAAAACGAGCAAGUGAACGGCAAUGUCAAUGGUUUCACGACUAUUCUUGGAUCUCUUCCAAUAGCGCUAUCGUGCUCGGAAUCGAUAAAGGAACUAACGUUUAUUAUUUCGCAAGCAACCCCUCCCGUGUGAACGCGCUCGACCCUCACAAAUCGUAAUUGCCGGGCAACGAACAGGCAUGUCUAGCUGCUCUAUGAGAUAGCUUGCCUCUGAGUCACUCCCCCGCGGUGCGUUUAAACUUUGAACGCUUUCUGCACGUCGGACCGACACGUUACACUGCGCAAUAAUUGUAACGACUCUAGGCUUCGUUCAUGAAUCGACCGCUUCGGGCUGGCAACUGUUUCAUGCGUGUUCCAAUGUAUACGCGGAAAAUCAGACUGAAUAGUUGCCUUGGAAAGCGAGACGCCAGUGUUUGAUAAUGCAAAUUCUUGUUUCAAUUUAUACGUUUUUACAAAGAUUUCUUUUUCAUAUUGACUUUAUAUCGCAUCGACACCUCGACCAUUAGUGACAGGUAGAGAUUAUUCUUUUGCCAAUCUCUUCUGUUGCAAAAAUCAGACGAAUCUACCUCGAUAAAUUUUCCACACUUUCUUAGGUAAGUAGUCACUUUUCUUCGAGAAAGUUACGCGAACCACUACGUAGAUGGUAAUCUGCGGAAAAAAGUUCUGGUGAGUAGAAGGAACAAGGAACCAUCUACUGUAAUUUUUUGCACAUUCAAGUUGUUGCAAUCUAAUUUACAUUAACAUAGAACAGGAUUGGCUUUUCCCAAGUGAGCAAAAUUUUCAUCGCGUGCAAGAGGCAGACACGCCAUACGAACAAACAGCGAAACUUUCAGCUCGCAGCUAGGUUUAAAACUGAAAUUCAACAGGUGGACCAUGCAAAUAUUUGUCGGAAACGAGGCAUUCGUAUAAUACCGCUCAUCAAUAGUAUUGCUCCGGGCAUUAUCAUCUACGCACAGAAAAAAGAGAUUCCUUCAUCGUGGAGAAAAUUGACAGCUCCGAAACGUCUUCUUUUGUCGAUAACAUCCAGAUCGAUGAUGAUUAGAAUUUUUAUGUCAUCGAACGAAACUACAAGGGCAAGCAUCCUGGAUAUGUGGAAGGAAGCGUAGUUAAAAAAUUGAGCCGAGAGAUCCGGCGAACGCUUUCAAGAUCAAAGAAUGGAUCUAAAAAGGAUUAAGCGUCCUAAGGCUUCUUGCCUCGAAGUAAAGCUGACUCAUAAGAAUCCUCGCUUCCAAAUCUGGUCAGUCAAACUGUUUUCGUCCAAUGAAUUUUAAUUUAGUCUCAUAGUCUUCCAUCAUCUAGUUUCAUUUACUUUCGCAGCCGCUGAGUUAUAAAAAAAGAGAGUACGUAACGAUAAUGAGAAUGAUGCUACUUAACGGUUUACCGUGGUGUAAAAAUUUGACAUUCCGCGGAUUUACGAUUGCCGCCCCGAGGACUAAAUUAUGGCGCCUCGGAUCCCGCACCGCAUUUGCAAACCCGUCGUACCGCACGUCGUACGACCGGCAGGUUUUGCACGUUACACUUUAUAUCCUGAGUGCAUGCCACGACAGGUACUUACACUGUCAGCGUAAGGUUACAACGAAAAUAACGAAAGAACAUACAACGGGGUUACGGCCCUCUUAACAAUUAGCACGUACCGUUGAUCGCGGAACACGGUCUCCCAUAAAUAUCCGUGAAAACGUUCCCGGUAAUGAGACGAACGUCGUUUCGGAAUUCGUUGUGAACCUGAUUCGGGAUUCACGUUCAUCUGUUUAAACUGAAAAAAGAAAAGAAUGUGUAUUACCAAGCGCCGUCUUUUUCGCUUUAUUAACACUAAAUAUCAGUAAUCUGAUGUUAAGUCUGGAGAAACCGGAGAAACGUUACUUGUAGUCGAAAUAAUGGAAUUCCUAAUGAAUUUUAAUUUCAGCCGACCUCGAGUCUCUUCUCCGGACUGGAGAACAAACUGACGCCAGUAAAUCGCACGCUUUAACGGACAAAUAUGUCGGUGAAGCUGAAGGAAACAAGUAACGCACAAGCAUCGUCGAUUACGCAGAACUUUCGAGGCUUCUUCUCUUCUUCAACAAAUCACUUUUUGCCUGUACGAGGUGCACGUAUAGUUAGAGUCGUUGGUUCGAAAGGGAGGCGGCGACGUUCCUUUUUCGACAGGGAAUCGUCGAUAUUUCGCCGCACUAAACCGCGACCAACCACGUCCUUUUUUUUCUUUACAACCAUCCGGCUCUCUACGUCGAAGCAACAUUUACGACGCGUUCUUUUUGUUCUCGGCGACGAUACAGCUCGACGCGACGAAGAGGCACCGCCAUACCCUUUCGACUCGUGCGUUCAAAGCGCCUUCUCGAGAGCCUUUGUCCUGCUCGUGCGGCCAUUUUCUUUCUCUUCGCAUUCUUUUCAGUGAAUACCUAUCCAGCGUUCAAGUAGACGCGCGUUCGGUGUACGAAGUGGAGAACGAUACACGAAGACGACGAAGAAAAAGGAACGGAUGAUACCUACAGGGUGGAGGAAGAAAGGCGGGAAGGAAGGAACGAUAGGCACAAGGGGUGGCGCGGGAGGUGAAGGAAGGCGAAGAAAGAACGAAGCGGAGGAGGAAGAAGAACGCGAGAAAGAAGCUAAAGUGAAACGAGCAGAAAAGACACACGAGCGAUGAGUCAUCGUAAAAAGAGGAAAGCUGGUGGUCGACUACUCUGAUUCGAACGAUCGUGUCUCGAGAUUUUCUGCUACUUUUUGCCUUGCACGCAUAAUACCGUCUCUAUCGUCAUUUUAAUACACGCAAUACCAACAACCAACGGAACUGUCGACCAGCUGAUAACGCGGAAAACGAAAGGCUAAAAAGCCGAUAACUGUAGUCGAAUGACAAGUACGAUCAAGCUCUCUGAUUGACGAUCGAUUGCUACUUUGAUCUCCACUGCCAAUAACUGCUGCUUCGUAUUAGAAGCGGUCUACACAGUCAUCGAUUUUUAUACACAUGUCUCAUCUUUACAGGAUUAUCGAGAUUACCAGAUGGAUUAUCCUGCACGACGACUCUUUCUUCGCGGAAUGUAGGCUACAGAACUCUUUACGUGCGAAGACAGGCAUCUGACGAUUCUUCGGCUACCGUUAAAGACGUAUCAACAAGGAUGCUGGUCAUUAUCGCCGUGAAUGGGAUCAGUUAGCGAUUAUCUCGUGUAUGUCACGUCCCAUCGUGUUAAGUGGCAUUCUUUGCCGUAUCAUGUAGAUUCGGUUCUUUAUAAUGAUUUAUAAUAACGAGGUCUUAACACGAACGCGAAAGCUGCUUUAGAAUGUAUAUUGAAAAAUUCCAGGAAAACAUUUGACUGCAAAUAAUUUUAUGUCGUGCCAGACGUCUCAUCCACGAUAAAAACGGGUUUUUAUUAAAUAUAAAACUGUACGUUAUAUCAAGAUCUUCGCAACAUCGGAUAUUCCGCCAGAGGUCAGUCUUUUCCACCAAUUAACAUUAAAAAUUUUUUUUACUGUAAAUAACGAUUUGAUCGUAGUAUUCAUAAGAAUACACGAUCCCUUGUUAAAAAGGGAUCAUUGACGUCGGUGCUUUCCGUCGCAAAGACGAAUAUUUGUCUCGUUACGCAAGCGAAGCAUCGCGGCGAUCCAAGGACACGGACUAACCCGUUUCAGAUGCCUGCUCUUGAUGGAUCUCCUCUGAGGCGCUCUUGAACGCGUCUGACAUGAAUCUCGUCAACGUUUUGAUCGCUUCAAAUAGCAUUUACAAUACGUACUCUUGUGUAAGGAUCGCAUAGUCUCGUAAAGAAAAAUCCUUUGACGUUAACACAUUAGCCAUUUGCGAAAAGUAUUUGUAAAAGGAGUUUCAUUAUAACCGAGACUUCUCCCAUAGUAUAUGAUCAUACGAUCGACCUUGUAUCGGAAUUGCGGGGAAUUUAAUCUAGACGUCUACGACUUAACGAGAUCCAAAUGAAUCUCUUUGGAAAUAGAAAGUAUUAUAUUCGAAACGUGAACGAAAGAUUCAAAUUCGAAAUAUAAAAUAAAAAAUAGACUGUUCCAAUUAAAAAGAGCAGUAAAGCAUUCAUCAAUUUUCAACAGAUCUAUCUGAGCUUAUUUUAUUAAUGCAGACGCAAUUUUCAGAUUGCGAAAAAUUAGCUAACAACAGACAACGGCCAAACGUAUCAAAUCCCGUCAAAGAUGAAGCGGCCUAUAUGCAAAUGGGACGCGCAACGAAACACAAUUUCCAUGGAGAAUUUUUUCCGCAUUGUGAGCUCUUCGCACAAGCCACGUCGUAAAAGAGAACGUGGAUUCGUUGCAGCUUCGAACGAUCGAUGCAAACGCGUGCGAAGCGUUCGAUAUACCACGGCGAACGAACGGAGAACGUUGCACCACGAAGUUCACCUUGGAAGAAGUCAUCCUAGACUUUUUCCCUGAUUCGCACCUCCGGAAUAUCGAGGACGGAGGCGUCCGCUCGAAAAACCCGCUCGCCGCGUGGGUAACACGCAAGAAAAUCCGCGAAUGGUGGCGCAAUCGAAUAAAAGCUUAAUGUCUCUGUCCUUGCGGAACUUCGAAGAACGACGCCACACCCUCAUCGCCGUCGUCCGCUUCUUUCACAGCAUACACGCAGGAUGUUCGUCGUCUUAAUAAAGAUGUAACGUAUACACAGGCUCAUGAAAGUAUUCCAACACUUGUAGACAUCUUUUAUGAAUAUAUUAUAUUAUGUGUAUCGUAGAAAUCGUUUCGAAAUGCUAUUAGCACUGUAGCGAGAUCCGGUUAUCUAUUGUACAUGUAUAUACUAAUGAAAUUUCAGAAUGUUUUACGUAACAUACACGAUAUAUGCAUAGGUGUUCUCUGUAGUAAAUGUUCAAAUAUUUUCGUAAAUCAGUGUAUAACGACCGAUUAUGGUAAUGCUCGUGGGUGCGAUUAUGUUUCACGCACGUCGGCCACGAAUCCAUUUAAUUUCGCACGGCGCGACGCAGCGGUUCACCAGCGUCGCUUCUUAUAUGGAUCGACCUGUCGAAAGGCAAACAACUGAUAUGGGUCCACAACCUAUCCCGAAUCUCGCCUCGUGAUUUCGCAUUAAUAAUUCAGAGCAUUCCUUGACCGGAUCUUGGUUCGCUUGCAGGGUGUGGGACGUCGCGUCAGCGGUGAAGAAUGGUAUACGAUAAGAUUAAGCUAAAUUUUCUUUGUUAUCUUUUUAUUUAACUUUUAAUCUUUAUUUUCUUCUUGUAAUUGGUUAGCUCAGAAUCAUAGUGAUGGUUUGGUAUCUUUUAAAAAAUAGCGAUCUGCGUUUACCAUUAUAACAAAUUCAUUAUACAUUAUUACAGCCCUAAAGAUAUCCGUAGCAGAAAAUGAAGUUGUGACUUGAUUAAUUAAUUAUUCACAUUUCCUUCAAACUCGAGAAAUUUUCCAACGAUAGAAAAAUAAGAUUUUAUGAUCGAAACCAUCUCUCAUCGAAUGCAGAAAGUUUGAAGCAGAGUAUCAAGAAUAAAAUGUUAAGUAAAAAUAGCAGAGAAGAUAAAAGGAAAGAGGAAGUCAUCGACAGAUGGCAGACGGUCGCAAUUAUCUAUUAACACAUACGGUAUAUUACUCGACAAAUGUGAUUGGCUGAUAGUUCAGGUUCUAACUAAAAGUACCAGAUGCUCUCGAUUAUACGUUCACAGGUUCGCGGAUAUCGAUGCAUGUUGACGACGAAAUUAAGCGAUAACCGGUUUUCUCUGAGUCUAAUUAUGGGUUUACAGCAUAUCGAAGGCAAGGAACACAAAGAGUAAAUUAACUCAGAACGGAUGUGAGCCUCACCAUAAUCGAACUUAGACAAUAGGUAUGACUACCACGCUCUUUGGCACGGGGAGCGUAGUGAAAUACGCGGAUAUUUCUCCGAAUAGCAAGAAGCCUGGUUCUAAAAGAUGCUGCUACGCCUCACGGAAGAAACUAAAUCCAAUUUAAUGAUCGUUAAUGAUCAAUGUACGAUAGAAAGGUGCGAACUAAUCGCGAAAAAAUUGUCUUAUUGCAAGACACAAAGCAAGAAACUUGAAAGAACGUUCCAUGUUAAGUAAAUGACAAUUUCAUGUUGGUAAAGUGAUUUCAAAUUCCUCGAACUCAAGUAGUAGCUUCAAUUCAAGAAACUUAUCUAAUCCAAACGAGACUCUAGAUAUUUACUUGAAGUCGGGUUAUUUAAAUAGAAAUGAUCGAUGUAACUCGUACGAAGAUAAAGUCAGAGUUACCAACUUGAACGAAGCUUACACGUCACUCCCAAAGUGUCGAGUGUUUCGCGUACUUGAUACCUUCGACCGAUGCUUCUGCGGUAGCUGAAUGAAUUCCACGCGAUGUAAUGAAAGAGCAUUGUUUGUCAGAAUAUAAUAGCCCGAAGGAAACGCGUGCUUCCAACAGCUGACGCGAUCCUGCGUGGCAGCCUUGCGUAAUUCGAAUUACGUAAUGACAACCGCGCCGAUGACGGAGCCAUGGUUCGCCGUCAUCGGCUUUGUCCUGAGCUAAAUAUCGAUCACUGUCCCGCGUAUGUGCGGUUAUUAUCGCGCGUGUCUCUCGUUACGCGAUUUCCAGCCGACUCUUGGCUCCGCUCUGACUUUCCGCCCUGGAGAAAAGAUAUCCUGCCGCAGAGUCAACGAUCGUUACGGAAGAUCGUAAACUGUCGCCGUUCAUUGUGCAAUAAAACUUGAGCAUUCGCAACACUCCUCCGUCCAUCCACGUCUUUACCUUCGUUCGCGCGAAUCAACUUUCCGACCGAUACAGAAAGAGAUUAAGAUUCAUAAUCAUUCGAUUAAUUUCAUAGUCGAUUGAGCUAUAACUUCAAACAAUACAUUGAACUUUUCUGUAAUAAUUAGACUGCGGACAUUCACGGGUUUGUGGAAAUUUCAAGAUGAAAAAAUGCACAGGAUGCUUCGAACGUGAAAUAAAUAUGUAAAAUAUCCAAAGCAGUUGUUGUAAUAUUUGCCGAAUGAAAUGAAUGUAAUUUAUCUAUUUGCAUUAAACAUUUGUAAUGUAAUAAUAACGAAGGCAAAUGAUAAAAGUUAA